CUUGAUCCUGGCUCAGGAUGAACGCUGGACGGCGUGCUUAACACAUGCAAGUCGAACCGAUGAUCCCAGCUUGCUGGGGGAUUAGUGGCGAACGGGUGAGUAACACGUGAGUAACCUGCCCUUAACUCUGGGAUAAGCCUGGGAAACUGGGUCUAAUACCGGAUAUGACUCCUCAUCGCAUGGUGGGGGGUGGAAAGCUUUAUUGUGGUUUUGGAUGGACUCGCGGCCUAUCAGCUUGUUGGUGAGGUAAUGGCUCACCAAGGCGACGACGGGUAGCCGGCCUGAGAGGGUGACCGGCCACACUGGGACUGAGACACGGCCCAGACUCCUACGGGAGGCAGCAGUGGGGAAUAUUGCACAAUGGGCGAAAGCCUGAUGACAGACGACGCCGCGUGAGGGAUGAC
rnacentral:rRNA from 1 species